rnacentral:rRNA from 1 species
UACGGAGGGGGCAAACGCUGCUCGGAAUCAUUGGGCGUAAAGCGCCUGUAGGCGGUCCGGCAAGUCGGGUGUGAAAGCCCUCGGCUUAACCGAGGAAGUGCAUUCGAAACUACCGGACUUGAAUACUGGAGAGGGUCGCGGAAUUCCCGGUGUAGAGGUGAAAUUCGUAGAUAUCGGGAGGAACACCAGUGGCGAAGGCGGCGACCUGGACAGAUAUUGACGCUGAGGUGCGAAAGCGUGGGGAGCAAACAGG